UGUGGGAGCGAGCUUGCUCGCGAUGGGGGCGGCACAUUCAGCAUUGAUGUGACUGUGAUACCGCUAUCGCGAGCAAGCUCGCUCCCACA
rnacentral:misc_RNA from 1 species